rnacentral:rRNA from 1 species
CCUACGGGAGGCAGCAGUGAGGAAUAUUGGUCAAUGGGCGCGAGCCUGAACCAGCCAAGUAGCGUGAAGGAUGACUGCCCUACGGGUUGUAAACUUCUUUUAUAAAGGAAUAAAGUGAGGCACGUGUGCCUUUUUGUAUGUACUUUAUGAAUAAGGAUCGGCUAACUCCGUGCCAGCAGCCGCGGUAAUACGGAGGAUCCGAGCGUUAUCCGGAUUUAUUGGGUUUAAAGGGAGCGUAGAUGGGUUGUUAAGUCAGUUGUGAAAGUUUGCGGCUCAAACGUAAAAUUGCAAUUGAGACUGGUAGCCUUGAGUACAGUUGAGGUAGGUGGAAUUCGUGGUGUAGCGGUGAAAUGCGUAGAUAUCACGAAGAACUCCGAUUGCGAAGGCAGCCUACUAAAUUGCCACUGACACUGAUGCUCGAAAGUGUGGGGAUCAAACAGGAUUAGAUACCCUUGUAGUC